CCUUCGGGUUGUAAAGUACUUUCAGCAGUGAGGAAGGUUGGAUUAUGUUAAUAGCAUAUUCAUUUUGACGUUAGCUGCAGAAGAAGCACCGGCUAACUCCGUGCCAGCAGCCGCGGUAAUACGGAGGGUGCGAGCGUUAAUCGGAAUUACUGGGCGUAAAGCGCAUGCAGGUGGUUUGUUAAGUCAGAUGUGAAAGCCCGGGGCUCAACCUCGGAAUUGCAUUUGAAACUGGCAAACUAGAGUACUGUAGAGGGGGUAGAAUUUCAGGUGUAGCGGUGAAAUGCGUAGAGAUCUGAAGGAAUACCGGUGGCGAAGGCGGCCCCCUGGACAGAUACUGACACUCAGAUGCGAAAGCGUGGGGAGCAAACAGGAUUAGCUACCCUGGUAG
rnacentral:rRNA from 1 species